CAAAUUUCUACUGAUAUAGAAAUAUUAAUUGAGAUUAGGGAUUAAUUAACCAUGGUUGAAUUAUUAAGUGGAAAUUUGAGAUUAAUUGAGAUGAAUUAAAUUAAAUAGUGGGAUGAAAAGUGAUCCCACUGCCACAUGGCCAAUUCUAAUUGGCCCAUGCUUUAGUAGGGGACAUCUAGUCACCUUGGGCAGCACACAUGGUCUUCAUUUUGACCAAAAUAGCAGCCAAAAACGUGUCCCAACUCCAGAAUGUUCAAGAAAGAGAGAGAAUUCCUCAUCUUCUCCAAAUUUCCUAAACUUUUGAGAAAGAAAGAAUAGAGAGAAGUAACGAGAUAGAGAGGCGGACAAGCUUGAGAGUGAGGGAGAAAUUGAGGGAUUAAGUGUGGUGAUUAUUCAAGGUUAUGGAAGCAAGGAUGGAUCCAUUAGAGAAGCAAAAAAAACGUUUUUGACCAAGCCCUCAAAUUUUCAAGCAAAUUGUUUCAUAAAAGCCUAAGGUAUGAGGCAGCAUAUACAUGUUGUGUGUGGAUAAACACUAAAGGUACCAAAGUUUGAUUUGCUGAUCCGCCGGUUUAGGACAUCUGCUGUGUUAUUGACAGUGCUCCCUUGUUCGGAGCUUGUAUUUUGGUACUGACUUUAUCUCUGUAUAUUUGAAUAUGUUGGUCAGGGGUACGACGGGGCCCUGUCCCGUCAUAUGGCUAUGCUAUCAUCUGUAGAGGUCUGUAGACAGAGUUAUGUUGUGGGUUUUGUAUAUAUGGUUUGGGUUUUGUGUAUUUUGUGACGGUCUAUCAACCCUCGUGCCUAUAUCUACUUUUAUGAUAUAUUUAGUAAUUUCUUCUAAUCACUACAUAUGUUUAUUCGAUUAAAAAGGCUAAUUUGGGAUUAGGGUAUGUUUGGGUGCCCAACUCGGGCACCAGUCGCGGCCUACGGGGUU